UACAGAGGUGGCAAGCGUUGUUCGGAAUUACUGGGCGUAAAGGGCUCGUAGGCGGCCAACUAAGUCAUACGUGAAAUCCCUCAGCUUAACUGGGGAACUGCGUGUGAUACUGGAUGGCUUGGAUUUGGGAGAGGGAUGCGGAAUUCCAGGUGUAGCGGUGAAAUGCGUAGAUAUCUGGAGGAACACCGGUGGCGAAGGCGGCAUCCUGGACCAAUAUUGACGCUGAGGAGCGAAAGCUAGGGGAGCAAACGGG
rnacentral:rRNA from 1 species